AUUGAACGCUGGCGGCAUGCUUUACACAUGCAAGUCGAACGGUAACAGGCCUUCGGGUGCUGACGAGUGGCGAACGGGUGAGUAAUGCAUCGGAACGUACCCAGAGGUGGGGGAUAACGCAGCGAAAGCUGUGCUAAUACCGCAUGUGUUCUGAGGAUGAAAGCGGGGGACCGAGCAGCAAUGUUUGGCCUCGCGCCUUUGGAGCGGCCGAUGUCGGAUUAGCUAGUUGGUGGGGUAAAGGCCUACCAAGGCGACGAUCCGUAGCUGGUCUGAGAGGACGACCAGCCACACUGGGACUGAGACACGGCCCAGACUCCUACGGGAGGCAGCAGUGGGGAAUUUUGGACAAUGGGCGCAAGCCUGAUCCAGCAAUGCCGCGUGCGGGAAGAAGGCCUUCGGGUUGUAAACCGCUUUUGGCAGGAACGAAACGGUGUCCGCUAAUACCGGGCGCUAAUGACGGUACCUGCAGAAUAAGCACCGGCUAACUACGUG
rnacentral:rRNA from 1 species